UACGUAGGGCGCAAGCGUUGUCCGGAAUUAUUGGGCGUAAAGAGCUCGUAGGCGGCUUGUCACGUCGGAUGUGAAAGCCCGGGGCUUAACCCCGGGUCUGCAUUCGAUACGGGCUAGCUAGAGUGUGGUAGGGGAGAUCGGAAUUCCUGGUGUAGCGGUGAAAUGCGCAGAUAUCAGGAGGAACACCGGUGGCGAAGGCGGAUCUCUGGGCCAUUACUGACGCUGAGGCGCGAAAGCCAGGGGAGCAAACGGG
rnacentral:rRNA from 1 species